rnacentral:misc_RNA from 1 species
UUAUACGCCCCAUUUUCAAUCAGCUGAUUGUUCAUUUCUCUCUCUCGUUCUUAGUCCUGGUUGAAGUCUUGAGUGUAGGGAACAAAGUGUGUCGAUGGCCAGCCAAGAAGUAAAUGAAGACGCUCAAAGUCUACCCAUCAAGUUCGAUUUGAUACCUGAAUCGUUGACUAGUCCGAUUAUCGACUUGUUCCCGGGACAAGACGAAGGCAUGGUCAGAGGUGAACCUGGUGGUUUCGUCUUCACGCGCGAGUAUGGCCGUCGUGCCGAUGAAAUUUAUCAAUUCCAGCCGAGAGAAGACGAUGUCUGGGUCUGCACUUUCUCCAAAUCUGGAACGACGUGGACCCAAGAGUUGGUUUGGCUCAUUGCCAACGGUUGCGACACUGAGACGGCCAAGAAAACUCCGUUACAUGUGAGAUCACCUUAUCUCGAAGGGGAUUUUCUGCAAUCACCGGAUCGGAUGCCACAGGAAAUCCGGGAUUGCUGGUCGUUGGAAUCGAUGGCUAAAAGGCCAUCACCUCGAAUUAUUAAAAGCCAUUUGCCUUUCCAUCUUCUUCCACCGAAAUUAUUAGACACUUGCAAAGUGGUGUACGUGGCACGUAACCCGAAGGAUGUCAUCGUCUCAAAUUAUCACCAUUUUAAACUGUUUAAAUUUCACGAUUACAAAGGCACUUUAGAACAGUUUGCUGAGUAUUCCAUGGACGGUCUAAUUUAUUAUUCGCCGUAUUUUCCCCACGUGCUGGAAGCUUGGAGUCAACGCCAUCAUCCGAAUGUUUUGUUUUUGUUCUUUGAAGAAAUGAAACAGAAUUUGAGGGCAGUGGUGGAACGUGUGGCAGCUCAUUUGAAUCAGACCAUCACGGAAGAACAAAUGGUGCGCGUGCUGGAUCAUUUGAGUUUCAAAAGAUUAGCUGAAGGUGAAGCCGCCGAAACAGCAAAAGCCAAAGAAAUGGGCGUCAUUAACGAAGGCGCCGGUACCUUCUUUCGUAAAGGUAAGACAGGCGAUUGGAAAAAUCAUUACAGUCCAGAAUUGAACGAGCGCAUUGAUAAAUGGAUGGAAGACAAUUUGGCCGGCUCUGAUCUCAAGUUUAUUAUGGAACUGAAUCACCAAGACUGAAGAAGUCUUCCUUUCAAUAUUGCCCUACGUUUAAUUUUCCUGCUAAGUCGUGGGAACGCAGUUUAUUUGCUGUGCAUGUCCAACCUGUGAAAAGACAACUGCAGUAAAAAUAACUAAUCGGUAGAUCCGUUUGGUCGAUUGUUUGCUGCCUUUAAAUAGCGUUCCCAUCUGCUUCUCAUCACCUCAAAUUCACAGGUAAGAAAUCAACAAGUUCUUGAAGCUCAAGUCACUUGACUAGAAGCUGAAAUGAUUGAAAUGAAGGCCAAAGUUGCUCGUGCGGAAGUACUUGGGCUUCAAGUUAACCAAGAGGCAUCGCUUCUCAAUGCUCUUCAGACCGAAAACCGGAAUUCCGCAGCCAAAGUCGCACUUCCAGAUUCAAAGACACAACGAGACUGGAACAGCAGACUCAGCAAAGUAACUUACUGGCCCAUCAGGAAUCCAAUAUCAAACGUCUUGUGCCGAUCUUUACAGCAUGGGUCACACUCUGAGCGGAGUCUAUUCCGUAAUCGGAUCUAAAUCUAUCGAAACUGUUCUUUGUGACUUCUUCAAAGCACAAAAUCAACAAGGUUUUCAAACUUUCCAGAAGUGGAUCGGAUACGCUGAUGUCAAAUCUCUUCCUACUUAUUUCUACGUUCAGAGGAAUAUAGCAACUUUAACAUGGUCGGUGUUCCUAUUCCGUUCCAGUUGGCCAAGGUGAACACCGGAGGAGCCAUGGAUUUGCAUUCGGGGAAAUUCACACCAUUGCGAAGGGGAACUUAUUUCUUCUCGUUCACUCCACGUCAACA